CUAAGAGCCAGGAACUCCACGCAGGUUUCCCACGUGGGUGCAGGGGCCCAAGCACUUGGGUCAUCUUCCGUUGCCUUCCCAGGGGCAUCAGCGAGAAGCUGGAUCAGAAGUGGAGCAGCCGGGACUCUAACCAGCACUCUGUAUGGAAUGCUGGUGUUGCAGGCGGCAGCCCAACCUGCUGUGCCACAGCGCCCACUCUGGACAGGCAUUUUCCAGCCAUGGGGCCUCAGCGAGGAGGGUGGCAAUAUUGUAGCAGAACGUCUUUCAGGCAUGUGGGAUUCUGAGUGGGGUGUAUAAAUGUUAUAAAAUUCUCCAUUCUGUCAGUCUUCAUCUUCUACGUUCUCGGGCUCACAGUCGUCCCAGUGUUAAGAAUGAUCUUGGGGCCGGCGCUGUAGCAUAGUGGGUAUAGCUGCUGCCUGCGGCGCUGGCAUCCCAUAUGGGCACCAGUUCAAGUCCCUGCUGCUCCACGUCCGAUCCAGCUCUCCACUGUGGCCUGGGAGGACAGCAGAGGACGGCUCGGGUCUUUGGGCCCCUACACCUGUGUGGGAGACCCGGAGGAAGCUCCUGGCUUCAGAUCAGCACAGCUCCAGCCAUUGCAGCCAUCUGGAGAGUGGGCCAGCAGGUGGGGGAAUCUCUCUCUCUCUCUCUGCCUCUCUGUAACUCUGCCUUUCAAAUAAAUAAAUCAUUUUUUUUGUGGGUCAUUGGCCUCAGCUGACAGUGGAGUCAGGACUGGGGCUCCCACACAUGGGAGGCUGGGGGUACUCGUGUGGGGGAGGAUGCAAUGAGAGAGUCCUGACUUGUACAGACGUCCCGGCCUGUUUGGGCAAGGCAGGUCUACAACACAGAAUUCUGCAUGUCCCGGGAGGGAAGAAGGUAAAGACAGACCAAUCUGUAUUUAUAAAUAACAGACAUGAGCUACUGCUCUACUCUGAGGGUAGUCCAGAAAGUUCACGGGAAAGGUGUAGUUUGAAAAAACUACACAUGGAUUUCAAAAUUCUUUUGCACAAAAAUAAAUUUUAUCUUGUCAUUCCAUUUCCAUGAACUUUUUGAAGUGCUUUUGUAUUUUUCUCAACAUUUAGUUAUUUGAAAGACAGAGAGAGAGAGGGAGAGAGAGAUCACCCAUCCACUGGUUCACUACCAAAUGGCUGCAAGAGCUGGGGCGGGUCCAGGCUGAAGCCAGGAGCUCCAUCUGGGUCUCCCACUUGAGUGGCAGGGACUCUAGGACUUGGGCCACCUUCCUCUGCUUUCUCAGGCCCCGAGCAGGGAGCUGCAGGUGGCAGCUUAACCUGCCGUCACAGCCCCAGCCCCUGACCUGUCCCUUUCUAAAGGUUUGUUGAACAGGAGCCUACCAAGGUGCCCACGUUAGGACUGACUGACAGAACUCUCGAGUUUCCUGGAGCCACAGGCUUCUGGCUCUGUUCCCCGUGGGAGAACCGGCUCAUUUGCCUCACGAAGUUCCCCAGAGCCUGGGCUGCGGUGACUGCAGCACGGUCCUGUGGCCCCCACCUCCUGCAGGUGGACUGCAGACUCUAAGCAGAGUUGGGUUCAAGUCAGUUAUUUUUUUUGAGCAAGAUGUAUAUACGUGGCAUCGUAACUUCUAGGAGACACAUACAAGGGUACUUCAAAAAGUGCAAUAGAAAAUGUGCAUUAUCAAAAAGCCACAUGGAUUUCAACAUUCUUUUGCACUAAAAUCAACUUAUCUUUCAACUCCAGGUACCACACACUUUUAAAAGUGCCCUCAUAGAAUCUUCUCAUCCCUCUUUUUACAAUGCCAACAGCCACUGGUGAGCUCUUUCCAGAACUAUUAAUUCAACUCGGGUUUGCAACAUGUGACUUUUUUUUUUUUUUUUUUUUUUUUUUUUUUUUUUUUUUGACAGGCAGAGUGGACAGUGAGAGAGAGAGACAGAGAGAAAGGUCUUCCUUUUGCCGUUGGUUCACCCUCCAAUGGCCGCCGCGGCCGGCACACCACGCUGAUCCAAAGCCAGGAGCCUGGUGCUUCUCCUGGUCUCCCAUGGGGUGCAGGGCCCAAGCACUUGGGCCAUCCUCCACUGCACUGCCGGGCCAUAGCAGAGAGCUGGCCUGGAAGAGGGGCAACCAGGACAGAAUCCGGCACCCUGACCAGGACCAGAACCCAGUGUGCCGGUGCCACAAGGUGGAGGAUUAGCCUAUUGAGCCACGGUGCCGGCCUAUCAUGGUGACAUUUUAAUGUUCUGGCUCCUUCUAUCAGCAACCAGCUCCUGUGAAGAUAAACACUCCCUCUCUAAUGAUGUGAUUCGCCUAAGUAUGUAUGUAUGUAUGUAUAUUUAAUAUUUAUUUAUUUGAAAGGCAGAGUUACAGAGAGACUCUUCCAUCCACUGGUUCAUUUCCCAGAUGGCCACAAUGGCCAGGGCUGGGCCAGACCAAAGCCAGGAGCUUCUUCUGGGUCUCCCAUGUGGGUGGCAGGGGCCCAAGCAUUUGGGUCAUCCUCUGUUGCUGUCCCAGGCGCAUGAGCAGGGAGCUGGAUCGGAAGUGGAGCAGCCAGGACUCGAACUGGCACCCAUAUGGGAUGCUGGUGUCACAGGGGGCGGCUUCACCUGCUGCACCACAGCGCCCGCCCGAGGCAUUUGCUGCCGUUUUACCAGCAUCACAGACUGGGUGCGGAGCAGACUCCAGGAAAGGGGGAGAAGACGGGAGCAUGGAAGCAGUGUUCAACUUUUGGGGCCGAGAGGAGGUAAAAUCCUCCCCAGGUGUGCCCGAGCAGCCUCCGCGGGGGGUUUUGAUCCUUGACGAGCGGCCCAUUUUCUAAGGCAGAAAGCAUGGAUGCUGUUUAAAAAUAAUAUUUUCCAAACAACCUCCCGAGCAUCCGCCUAGCACGGAGUAGGGGAGAGUCUGGCACCCUGGAAACAGGCAGCCCCGGUGCAAAGCUGCCGUCUCCUACCGUGGGUGUGGGCAGGAGACGCCGCCUGUUUUUGGCUCCAUUGGACCCGGCUCUGAUGGGAGGCGGGACUGCCUGCUUUUUAAACUUUACCAAAACUCCAGCUGCUUCCACUUGCUGCUCACGAGUCUGCCUGCAGAUCGAUAUCGUAUCACGUUUGCUCCCCUCCCCGAGGCUGUGAUGAGGGGCAGGCCGUGCCCUCCCCUGCCAGGUGAAAAGCUGUAACUUGGCUCGCCUGUCCCCCCAGGGGCCGCCAACCAGGUGAACGCCUCAUCCCUUACCUGAGUGACAAACGCUGUUCUCAAACCCAUUUGCGGGAUUCCCGUACCUGGUUUUAUCAGAGGCAGCGGGGGGCAGGGUGGGGGUGGGAGCGGGGCUUUUUUGUUACACUGCAGGAACAGGAGUUGGAGUCUGGCAGGUGGAGCCCCAGGUGUUUCUGAUACGCAGCCCUCCAUCAUCCGCGUCUCUCCAACACCUGUUCUCCUGCACCAUUAAGACAGAUGGCCGGCUCCCGCUCUGUAUUUUCCCGUUUCUGACAAGUUUCUAGAAGCCACGGAUCUGUUCCUGCCCAGACCACACUCUGAUCCCUGGAUCUGACGGUUGGCUCCAGGUAAAAGAUAUUUUUAUCUCGACCUUGCUGAUGAAGGUCAUGGCUGCAAAGCUAGUGCAGUGGAAUUGUCAGUGAAACCUGGCCGGGCUGAAGAAUCAGAGAGGAAGUGUAUCUCUUAGGAAUACCUGUGGCUGACAGCUGGGGCUGGCACUGUGGUGUAGUGGGCUAAGCCUCUGCUUGCGGCGCUGGCACCGCAUAUGGGCGCCGGUUCUAGUCCCAGCUGCUCCACUUCCGAUCCAGCUCUCUGCUAUGGCCUGGGAAAGCAGUGGAAGAUGGUUCAAGUACUUGGGACCGUGCACCCACAUGGGAGACUUGGAAGAAGCUCCUAUCUCCUGGCUUUGCAUCGGCACAGCUCCGGCCGUUGCAGCCGUUUGGGGAGUGAGCCAUAGCAUGAAAGAUCCCUCUCUCUCUAAUUUUGCCUCUCAAUUAAAUAAAAUCUUUUUUUUUUUAAAUAAAACAACAGGUUACCUCGAAAUGGCUUGGGCAAGAUGACUUGGACCCAGAGAGGGAAAUGGACCAAGCUGUUAUCUGGAUGAGUGGAUGAAAAUGAGGGGUGCCACGGCGGGAACCAUGGCAGGAAGGCCCCAGCCAGAUGCCACGGCCGCGACCUUGGACUUCUCAGCUUCCAGAACUGCGAGCUGCACACGUCCCCGUGAUACCCAGUGGUGGUGUUGAUGGGCUCCAGCGUGUGUAUUCUGAAUUGCCACACUGAACAACAUUCCCAACAAGUCCGUAAACAUUCAUCUCCACAGCCCAGCGUCCAAGUUCCCCUUUGCAGGGAGAAACUUAACUGUUCAGGAUGGCUGUGAACCGCACAAGUCCAGACGCUUGCUUAUCCGUAUCUCCCUCCCCACGGAGCACUGGAGGCAGACAUCGGAAGAACAGAGGGCGAAACAGAAACAGUCCUGAACACUUCCCCCAGAAGAAAGCUGUCCCCAUGGAGGGGUUCACCACUCGCCUGUUUCCUUCCUUGUGCCAUAAACCCUCAUCCCACAAAAUAAACCAAUCGCGUGACCAGGUACUGGGUUUUCUCAGGUACCCUGCGGCUCCCACUUCCCAGGAUUUGCAGGACGGCAGGGACCAAGUGGAAGCAUGGCUUAUGUUGACAGUAUUCUCAACUUGCCAGAUAAAAACCAUUUCUGGGGGUUGGCGCUGUGGCAUGGUGGGCUAAGCCUCCAUCUGCAGUAUAGGCAUCCCAUUUUUUGUGCUGGUCAAGUCCCGCUGCUCCUCUUUCGAUCCGGCUCUCUGCUGUGGCCUAGGAAAGCAGUAGAAGAUGGCCCAAGUCCUUGGGCCCCUGCACCCGCGUGGGAGACCUGGAAGAAGCUCCUGGCUCCUGGCUUCAGAUUGGUGCAGCUCCAGCCAUUGCGGCCAUUUGGGGAGUGAACCAGAGGAUGGAAGACCUCUCUCUGUGUCUCUCCCUCUCUCUGUAACUCGCUCUCUCAAGUAAGAAAAAAAAAAGGGUUGGGGGAAGGAUUUCAGGGAGUCACUGUCUUCUAAGACGAGAGUAUCCAUAGACAGGUUAGUGCCCCGGAUAUCACUGGUCACUCCUAGAAGGCGGCACCAGCAUUGCCUGGAUUCUCUUGGCCAUAGUGCAUCCUGCCCUCAUUCCCAGGGGAGUCCACCUCCUCCCAUGGCCAUGGGGUCCCCGGGCCAUGCCAGGGGUCAGAAGGUUGGCCUCUGUCUUCUUUAAUCAGUGCAGGCACGUGCCCCUGGAGGCAUCAGGCUGGGGGGUCCCGUGCUCCUGUCUUCCACAAAGCCAGGUCUUCAUGGGAGCCUCCCCACGUGAGGCCAUGCCAGGCCCUUACAGUAUUUGUUUUGAUCCUGGCAUGUGACAGGGUAAUAGGGCACAUGGGGAAGUGUCAUGUGACUACCAUGUCUCCUUGUCUCUAAGAAGCCACCGAUAGAAGGUGCACAGUCAAUGAUAAUGUGGUGACAGAACUUAGGUGCCCUGUUAACUGUGUGCGUUGGGGCAGGCGGAUCAGCUGCUUGUGUCCCACAUCAGAGUACCCGGGUUCGAUUCCUGGCUCGGGCUCCUGAUGGCGGCUUCUUGCUAAUGCAAACCUUGGGAGGCAGCAGAUGUGGGAGACCUGGACGGAGUUCCUGGCUCCUGGCUUCAGCCCUGGGUGAGCCCGGUAUUUGGGGAGUGAGUCAGCAGAUGAGUGUGCUCUCUCUUCCUCUUCUCUCUCUCUCUCUCUCCUUACUCCCCUACACUCUUGAAUUUUUUUAAAAAAAUUAUGCAUCAAAGGUAAGGGUACAUCAAAAAGUUCAUAGAAAACUUGAGUUAAAAGAGAAGCUUAUUUUGGAGCAAGAAAAAUUUUUAAAUCCAUGCAUAGUCUGUUCAUGCAUUUCCCAUGAAUUUUUUUGAAGACUCCCUUGUAUUAGACCCUGAUGGAAAAACACGAGUCUUAGCACUGAAUAAAGACGAGUAUGGUAUUAUUACCACUGAACAUGUAA